CUUCAGUCCAUAUCCUUACACCCGGCGUACAUUAGCAGCCACCCGCUUUUAUCACCGAGUGCUAUAGUUUACUAUCUCCUCUCCACCUUGUUCCCAUCCGCCUUUCCAGUUGCUUUCGUCUUGGAAUUGCUCUCAACUGGUCACAAAUUAUUUAUGUAAGGUUUUUUUUUUCUUUUUUUUUUUUUAAAAGAGCGUGAAUUUGGGUUUGAUUACAAAGAGAUUUUGGGACUUGUGAGUUCAUUUUAGUAUGGAAAGCUUGCUAUUUGAGUGAAGUUUCUCCUGUGCUUGUGUUCAAGAAUUGAGCGAUUAUAUGGUUCACAAAGAAAUGAUUCAAUGAAGGCAACCUUCAAAGGUCGAGAUUAAUUGUCAGUGUCUUGCUCUCGAAAGAUAAGUGAGCGCAUGUCUUGCUCUUUAACUUUUCUAGGUAUCAUCCGUUUAUAAUUAUAGAGCUCAGUCAUAUUUUCUUUUAUGUCGUUUGCUUCUUCUAUCAGUUUCCAUAAUGCCAAAACGCAACAAUGAAAAUUUGUCAUUGCUUCCGUUGUUUGAAUGGAGAAAAGGUCACGUAAAGGUUGACUGCUCGUAAUUCCUUGUCACAAAAGCUUCAAAUUUGUCACUGGGAAAAUCUUUCGAAGAGUUUUGAAUGUUGCCCAUGUUUCAUUCAUCUAUGUUCUGCGAAUGCAGUACAUCAACCAGUCCAUGCAAGGUGUUGAAGCGAGAGACCCAUCUUUCUUCAUUUCAAAUAUACAGAGAUGGCGACCAGCGCCACCAGUUAUCAAAUCCAAUCUUCAGCCAUUUAUUUGUUGAUAAUUGAUCACCAACUCAAGGGUGAUUUCUCAAUUGAACAUCAUAUUACCACGCCGGCUUUCGCCCCGGCCCAGCUGGGGGGGGGGGGGAGGGGGGGGUGGAGUUACCCAUUUGGACAAACUGCAACCACUGUAAGCAGCUAGACAUCACGAGUCCCUUGCACACAUGCAGCAAGAGCAUGCUAAAAGCAACAAAGAAACUUGAUGAAAAUGAAAUACAAAUGGUAACACUGUCCCCACGCCAUAGAUAUGGCAUUCUCAUGUUCAGUCCAUCCAAUGUACGAACAAAAAUAUCGACAGAAUCGUGCAUAUAAUUGUGCAGAAUCAACUUUGCUUCCAACCUUA